rnacentral:misc_RNA from 1 species
GGAAGUAAAUGUCGUAACAAGGUUUCCGUAGGUGAACCUGAGGAGGGAUCACUACAGGCUUGCAAAAGCUCUGAAACCACUGUUUAUCUACCUGAAUCUGCUUCGGCGGGCGGCCCCAGGGCGGGGCCGUAGCCGCAAGGCGCCCGCCGAAGACCCCUAAACUCUGUCGUCUUGAGAAUCUCUGAGUAAUUAUAUUAAACAAAAACAACUUUCAACAACGGAUCUCUUGGCUCUG